GUUUUAUGUUUGAGUUGCAUAAAGUUCCAGGCACAGAAGACAAAUUCAAAUAUUUCUUGCUUUCUGUUUUUAUUUAACUCAAAAUAGCCAGUAACAUAAAAACAUUUAAAAAGUAUCUGCAAUACAUGACUACUCAGUUAUUUGGGGUUGACGGAACUUGAUGUUUAGUUCUUGCUCAUUUCCAAUAUGUACUAUAACAUAAUCUAUCAUAAAAUAUAUCCUUAAAAUUUUCAGCAGGGGGUCGACCUGUAUCACUGAAUUCUAAUAAAAAUUCAUGAUAUAGUUAUUACGCUUGAUUUUAAAUAUUUUCUCCUACACAGAAACUUA